GCAAUUACUUACUCACAGGAUACAUCUGGAAAUAUGUUUAAGGCGUAGUGGUAGGUGACUACUCUGCGGUAUGUUAUGUUCCGACUCAACGCUUAAACACCUUCUUUGUGAAGGAAAGAUAAUAUAGGAUUCGGAUUCGGUCUAGACUUAUACAAGCCUCUCGCUCGUUGGAUACAAGGUUUAGAAAAGUACGCACUAAGUUAUGAUUAAAUUUUGAAUAAAUAACUAUUAUAUAUUUUGAUAAAAGAAUGAAUUGUUACAAAAAUCUGAUUGGUACACAAGUAUGAGAAUAUAACGAGUAUUCAAAAGAUAUUAUGAUUCCUUUAAUUACUGAGGACAGAGAAUCCAGAUCUUGAUUGGACUCACCGGAUGUUUAGAUGUACAGAAACGGUAAACGGUUAAUUUGAUGGAUUGCUCCCUUCUCUCUCUCUUCCUCUCGACGUACGGAUGUUGAGUCUUUAUUUAACGAGUGAACUGAGUCUUUUCGUGUGACAGUUGAUUUUCACGAAACUCUGCUCGACGUAUUUCGCAAUACUAAACGUUCCUCGGACAGAGAGACCGCGCACCUCGCGACUGUAUGGCCGACUGUGUGUCUAUUGUCCGUAAUCGGGUUUUUUAUUAGAGUCGAAAAUGCUGAUUUCGCAUGGUUUGGAGGAAAGAGUUCAUUAGUAUAUUGACCUGUUGGAAUGUCUAUCAUUGCUACAUAUUUUCGACGCAGCGUUUCGAGAAGAAGAGAGAAUUUGUUGACGCUGGUGACUCCAAGGAGAAUUUAUUCAGACAUUGAUGAGGGAAUUACAAUCAAAAAAUUAUGGAGUAGAAAAGUUGAAUAGAUCCAUUAUAGAAAUUAAGGACAAUGUAUGCAUUUGUUGCAGUAUGUUAAUAAAAACAUACUUCGGAUAGUUGAAAUUCUUUAUGCAUAUUUAAAAAGGGAAAAUAAAGAUAUAACACUAAAUAAAAAUAAUGUUUAAAUCAGUUGGAUAUUAUACCUAACCUAUCCUAUAUUUAUUAAUUAGUUCAUUCUGAUAUAAAUUAAUAAUAAAUUACACCACAUUUUUAAGCUUGAAGUGAUGUGCCUAGUUUAUAAGUAAUGCGGUUAAUGUGUAUAUUUGUUAGCACGAACGUUUAUUUGAAUCAGUGUUUUCUUAUUAAUACAUACUAUUGAAAAAUGAAAUGUGAAAUAAGUGCUACCCUUAAUAAAAAAAAAGUAUUAUUUCGAUUGCUUGUGAUUAUCUCACAGUGAUAGCAAAAGGAAUAGAAAAUUUAUAUCAGUACUAUUCAAUUCAUGAGAUUUUAGAAACACUAUCAACUGUAUACAAGGUUGUCAAUUAUUAUUUGUAAUAAACAUAUUUAUUCAACAGACAAUGUAUACAUUUUAUGUAGCAUAUUAAUAAAAAUGUAGUUUUUAAGGUUUAUUUCUUUACAGACAUUGGAGACAUGACAAUGAACAUUUAAAUGCAUUUUAUUCAAUAAAUAUAGGAGCACUCAGUUACAUGAAAUGAAAUAAACAUGUUUGCAAAGUAUAAAUCUUAUUUAACUGAUGACGGUAUAAUUCUAUAGUUUUUCUUACAAAGUGUUUUUUAUUUGCAGGUUUAUGAGAUGCUUUUAAUAUUUCAUUCAUAUACAAUAAUGCGUGUACCUUGUCUGCAUAAUUAUUAACUGAUUACUGACUAUCAUGCAAUGUUUAAGAAAAUGUUUAAUUAUAUUUCAUUUAUCACUGAAUGAAACAUUAAUUAAUUUGUAUUGUUAUUCUUUAUUACUUGUACUUUAGUGUUUAAACCUAUUACAAAAGAAUGACUGGGUUCUUACACCUGACGUUGAUACAGUGUGGUUCGACUACAUUUUUCCUUACUAACUAAGAAACUUAUUAUAUACACUACUUUUAACUAUUAUACUAAUCACAAAUUUUAUAAUCUUAUUAUGUUUAUAUCUUAAUUAACAAAAGCAUGUGUAUGUAUAUAUAAUUUGUUAUGAUUUCCGCUUUCCAUUUAUGAGCUAUAAUUUAAUGACAAAUUUUUGUUGAAAUCCUGAUAGAAGAUAAAAUCAUUUAGAUUUAAUACAUCUAUUAAAUACUGAAUUGAAAGAAAAAUUCGUAAUUUAUAUACAUAUAACCUAACAUGUGUCAAACUACAAAAAACACAACCAGCAUUUUGUAAUGUGACAUCUCUGUAAUAUUUACAGAUUCCAGUUACUAGAUGUUUUAAAGUUCUCGAAAAUCGACUCUUUCGAAAAUUGUCGUUACUAAGUUGUCGAUCACCUGGUCAGGUUGUUGUCCCGACGACGUCGCCUGUCUAU